CCUACGGGGCGCAGCAGUGGGGAAUAUUGCACAAUGGGGGAAACCCUGAUGCAGCGACGCCGCGUGAGUGAAGAAUUAUUUCGGUAUGUAAAGCUCUAUCAGCAGGGAAGAAAAUGCCGGUACCUGUUUACGAACCCCCGGCUAACUAAGGGCCAGCAGCCGCGGUAAUACGUAGGGGGCAAGCGUUAUUCGGAUUUACUGGGGGUAAAGGGCGCGUAGACGGGAGCACAAGGCGGGCGUGAACUGCCGGGGCUUAACCCCGGAACUGCUUGGGAAACUGUGCAGCGAGAGUGCAGGAGAGGUAAGUGGAAGUCCUAGUGUAGCGGUGAAAUGCGUAGAUAUUAGGCGGAACACCAGUGGCGAAGGCGGCUUACUGGACUGUAACUGACGUUGAGGCACGAAAGCGUGGGGAGCGAACAGGAUUAGAUACCCUAGUAGUC
rnacentral:rRNA from 1 species